GUUAAUGGUCACAUGAAAGCCAAGUUGGAUCCAUUGAGUUUGGAAGAAAGAGAAAUUCCUGAUGAUCUGGACCCUGCACUUUAUGGAUUUACAGAUGCUGAUCUUGAUAGGGAAUUCUUCCUUGGCGUGUGGAGGAUGGCUGGCUUUUUAUCAGAAAAUCGUCCAGUGCAGACUCUCAGAUCAAUAUUGACCCGCCUUGAGCAAGCUUACUGCGGG
rnacentral:misc_RNA from 1 species